rnacentral:rRNA from 2 species
CACAUGCAGUCGAGCGGUAGAGAGAUGCUUGCACCUCUUGAGAGCGGCGGACGGGUGAGUAAUGCCUAGGAAUCUGCCUGGUAGUGGGGGAUAACGCUCGGAAACGGACGCUAAUACCGCAUACGUCCUACGGGAGAAAGCAGGGGACCUUCGGGCCUUGCGCUAUCAGAUGAGCCUAGGUCGGAUUAGCUAGUUGGUGAGGUAAUGGCUCACCAAGGCGACGAUCCGUAACUGGUCUGAGAGGAUGAUCAGUCACACUGGAACUGAGACACGGUCCAGACUCCUACGGGAGGCAGCAGUGGGGAAUAUUGGACAAUGGGCGAAAGCCUGAUCCAGCCAUGCCGCGUGUGUGAAGAAGGUCUUCGGAUUGUAAAGCACUUUAAGUUGGGAGGAAGGGCAUUAACCUAAUACGUUGGUGUCUUGACGUUACCGACAGAAUAAGCACCGGCU